UCCUGAACCUACGUUUACAUAUCCAUUCCUUCCACUGAUGCUGCCUGACCCGAGUUACUCCUGCAUUUUGCUUGACACAACUAGUAACUGUAAUUGUAUUUGUUACCUUGGAAAAUGCAUGAUAUUUGCUUCAACACUUGUACAUGUGGGAAAGAUCAUGUGAAAAGUAAACUAUUUAAAUUUAAAUCAUGCUUUGCUUCUGAUAAUUGCAAUCUUUGUCGACCUACAUUCCUUUCUCUGGCUUUGCAGUUCACAAAUUUGUAUUCUUUUUCUCUUUCUUCACCUCUCGUCUUUGUCCAGCCAUCUGCCUACUACCUGCCAUGCUUUGUCCUGCCCCUCUCCUAGCUUUCUUCCGCCCCACCCACCUCUCAAUCAGUCUGAAGAAGGGUCCUGAACUGAAAUGUCACCUAUCCAUAUUCUCCAGGGAUGCUGCCUGAUCUGCUGAAUUAGUCCAGCUCUUUUGACUAGUUUGUUAUAACAAUUGACCAUGUGUGAAAUGUGAAAUCCCUUGUGCUCGAGCAGUUGAAGGUUGAAAUCCCAUGAGCUUUCAGCUGAAAGUAAUCUUAGCUACACCUACUGUUGAAUUGAGCAUUGUUGUAUUCAAUAAUAAAUUCACUUCAUGAAGAUAAUUUGCAUAAAGAUUUAAAUUUGUUAAUGUCACUAAUUCAUCAUUCAAUGGUGCAUUUAAAGUUGAAACAAUGCUAUGAUAAUUAAAAUGGACAAGUACUUUGCUUUUGGUUAUACAGAACAAACCCUUGACUUUAUGUAUUCAAUAGAAUUGCAUAUAGCUCUUGGGGCGAAUGGAAUCUAAGGAUAUGUGGAGUAAGCAGGAACAGGGUACUGAUUUUGGAUGAUCUGCCAUGAUCAUAUUGAAUGGCAGUGCUGGGCCGAAUGGCCUACUCCUGCACUUAUUUUGUAUGAGGUAUUUCUGUGGAACUUUUAAAAUUAUCUUUAUCUUUCUGAAUCUGCCAAUAGCUGAUGGUUGGAGCAAUGAUAAAUAAGUGUUGUGCAUAUCAAUUGUUUACUGCAAGGAAAAUUUGGAAAUACUGUUUUUUACUCUAAGGCAGUACCAGUGUAAAACACAAUGAAGCAUCUUCAGUCUCCCCAUGUAGUUGCAUGUUUAUCUGAGGAUGUCAUGCACUAAUCUGCUCUUGUCAAAUUUCUAGUUGGCUGCUGAAUAAUGACCUGGACUUUCAUUUGUUUUAGUUUGACUGAAAGCAUCAGUGCUGCUGCAAAAUGUUAAUUGUACCUGCACCUCACUGUAAUGUCCAUAUGAUAAUCAUUGGCUAAAUCGAGCAGGCUUAGCUGUGUGACCAAAUUUGGUUAGCCUAUUAAGGGCCACAAAAAACUGCUUGCAGUAGUACAAUUGUUAUUUCAAAACCAUUAAUGUAAGUUUAGUGCAGGCCUUUUAAUAGGCAAAUGUUUCUUCUACAGUUAAAGCAGAAAUAGUUUGUGCGUGCUCGCUUGUGUCUGACGUUCUGCCAUUGUUUUGCCACAUCUGUGCCUCUGCGGAGAUCGUCCACAGUGCAUGCCUCUCUGCUGCAGGUGGGCCAUUGUCUGUACCUGUCCACAGUUGCACUUGUCAGAGUUCGAGAGGCCCCACUUCAGGUUGAGUCUGCAACGUUCCACUCCAGUGCGGUGGCAGUUUAGGGCUUUCCUGGUAGUAUAAGGCAGGUGGUGUCCUGGUGCCAUCUGUUUGGUUUUGGUGUCUGGUACGGUUGGCUCUAGUUCCAUGAAGCUGUUCCGACUCUUCAGGCGUUUAUUGGCAUGUUGGUGAUUGUGCAAGGGGUGGUGGGGGUCUGUGUCCGCAGUGAAGCGUUCUACUGCAGCUGCCCGAUCACAUCUUCGAGAUGGUUCGUCUAUGACUGCCAGCUCGUACAGGUGUUCAACGUUUGUCGGCUUCAGGCGUCCUAUGGUUUUCCUGCGGGCAGUGGUCAAUGCAGUGUCCACCUUGCGUGCAUGUUUAGAGUGGCUUCAGACGGGGCUUGCAUAUUCUGCCACUGAGAAACAGAGCGCCCGGGCUGCAGUACGGAUUGUUGUUGGGUCACUUCCAAAUGAGCCGUUUGCCAAAUUUUUGAUGACAUUGUUCCGUGUGUUAACCUUUGCCUUGGUUUUCUCAACAUGUUGGCGAUAUGAUAAAGUGCGUUCGAGGACCAAACCUAGGUACUUUGGGGCUUUGCAGUGUACCAACAAGACAUAAUUUCAUCGCACCCCGGUUCCAGAGGUGGAAAGCUGCGCUUUGUGUUUUUGUUAGAUUUGGCCGCAGGGAAUUCUGUUGGUAGUAUUGUCAUAUUCUGCAGAGCCUCUAGUAUGGUCUCAAUCUGGCUGAAGUCUGAGGAUUGCGUUGCAAUGCACAAGUCAUCGGCAUACAGAAAUAACCUUGUUUUGGCGUGAUGGGUUGGUGAUUGGUGUAUAUACUGAACAACGUUGGGGCAAGGACACUGUCCUGUGGUAUACCAUUCUUUUGGUGUCCCCAAGCAUACAAAGAAACGCAGUUCUCCAUCCUUGUCCUGAUGAACUGGACCAGAUGAGAGUCCUGUAGUGUUUGUUGCAGUUUAGCUGUCAUGGUAUGGUGGUUUACAGUGUCAUAUGUUGCGGACAAGUCUACAAAUACUGUAUCUGUGAUCAGCUUCCCCUUGAUGCCAUCUUCAAUGUGCUGACUGAGGUUCAGCAGUUGUCCUGCUGUUUAAUUUCCCUGGUGAAAUCCAGCCUGUUCAGGUAUCAAAACAUUGUCUAUAUCCAGUGUGAUGCGGUUCAGUAUGCAUCUUUCCACCAGUUUGUAUGGGUGGCACAGCAGGGAUAUAGGCUGGUGGCUGCUGGGAAAAUUGGCAUUUUUGCCUGGUUUUGGUAAAGCAACAACCUUGGAUUUCCGCCAGACUUGUGGAAUGGAGUUGGUUGCUAUGCAGGUAUUAAACAUCUCCAGCCGCCAUUCUCGUGCUCUGGGACCCAGAUGUUGCAGCAUCUCAGUUCUGAUGUCUAAGCCAGGUAGCUGCCUUGUUGGGUUUCAUCACAUUCAGGGCUUUGUUGAGUUCGUCCAUGGUGAAAGGUUGAAUGUACCAUCUGUCGUUUCAGUUGUUACUAUCAACAACCUUUGGGGGUGGAGAUUUCUUACCUCUACUCUUGCUGUUUAGCAACAACUGGUGGGUGACCUGGUUAGCAGUCACAUUUCCAUGUGGUUUACUGUGGGUGGGGUAAUUACCGAGAUGUCUCUGUCGCCCAUGCCUUCCUGCUGCUGUCGUAGGUCUGUUGUUUCUAUUAGCUCCUGCUAUUGUCUGCGUUUUGCCUCGUUGAGUGCAUCUGAGCUGUUUCCCCAUCAAAGCUGUUUUGUCUGUGAAUUUGUACUCAAAACUAAUGAGCAGGAUUGCUUUAGCUCCUCUGUUUGAUUGAAAUUUUGGUAGAGGGAGUAACAACAUUUUAGUGUUAUAAUUGAUAUUGGUCUGAUGCAUUUGUUUUCUACUGUAUAAUUGCUGCAGUUCCAAAAAAUAUUCUUGCUGCAAACUGACUUUGUACACCUUGAAGUGAGUUCUUCCCAUCCCCACUCCAUAUCAUUAAUAUCAUUAGCUAACAAAUAGGGAAGCUUGUCUUAAUGUUUGAUCUGCAUUUGUGAAGUUCUGCAUGUAGAGGGAAGUAACUACUCACCGUAGUAAUUUUCUUUGCAUCCAUCCAUGACUGCAUAAAUUCUGCUCCACUGAACUGAAAUGAGUAGUUGACACCUGAAGAGUGGCAGGUUGUAGUGGCAAAAGGUUUGAAGUUAAUGACCCUUUAAUAUUAAUGGAAUGUCAAAAUUAGUAAUAUUGCUAGGCACCACAAUGCUUACAUCAAGUUCUAAACACCAGUAAGUGAUUUUUGCAUUUGGUGUAAUGAUAAAGUAAUACCAAUUUACCUGAAAGGGGCAAAUAAAAAUCCUUUAUUCAUUCUAAUAUUAAAGCCAAUAUAUCCUUCGUGAGGUGGCUCAAACACUACACAUUGUCUGAAACUUUUUAAAGCAAAAUUUUGGGUUUGACAAUUUCCGAUUUUGACAAAUACGCUAACAUUCCAUCUUUCAAAUUAUUUUUUUGGAACAUUUAUCUUGUGGGUUUAAUCUGGAAUCCAAAUAGGUGUUUUCUAUUUUCAUACUUUGAACUCUUCCGAUUUUCUUCAUAUCAAAUUUGUUUCAUGCUUCCAUCUGCUACUUGGGAGAUCACCCAUUUUGUUAUCAACAAAUUUAGAUCUCUGAUUGCACAAAACAGCCAACUUCAGUUAGCUGUUUGAAACGCUACUUUUAAGUCUGUCGGCUAUUUUGCUGAGGGUCUAUAAUAUACAGGCUAAAAAAGGAUUGUCUUUAAAAUUUCCCCUUAAGAUUUGGCAGCUUGGCAAAUGCUAGGUUUAUGGAUAUUGGUUAUCCUAAUGGCCCUGUCCCACUUGGGC